AGAAUCAACGCUGGCGGCGUGCCUAACACAUGCAAGUCGCACGAGAAAGGGGAGCAAUCCCUGAGUAAAGUGGCGCACGGGUGAGUAACACGUGAAUCAUCUACCUCCGAGUGGGGAAUAACCUAGAGAAAUCUGGGCUAAUACCGCAUAACACUUACGAGUCAAAGCAGCAAUGCGCUGAAAGAGGGGGUCGCGGCCGAUUAGCUAGUUGGCGGGGUAAUGGCCCACCAAGACGAUGAUCGGUA
rnacentral:rRNA from 1 species